AUGGAACAAUGUAGGCAAGGGAAGUCGGCAAAACGGAUCCGUAACUUCGGGAAAAGGAUUGGCUCUAAGGACUGGCUCGGGGGUCCCGGCCCCGAACCCGUCGGCUGUCGGCGGAUUGCUCGAGCUGCUCACGCGGCGAGAGCGGGUCGCCGCGUGCCGGCCGGGGGACGGACCGGGAAUCGCCCCUUCGGGGGCUUUCCCCGAGCAUGA
rnacentral:rRNA from 1 species